rnacentral:rRNA from 1 species
GACGGGGGGGGUUAGCGUUGUUCGGAAUUACUGGGCGUAAAGCGCGCGUAGGCGGACCAGAAAGUUGGGGGUGAAAUCCCGGGGCUCAACCCCGGAACGGCCUCCAAAACUCCUGGUCUUGAGUUCGAGAGAGGUGAGUGGAAUUCCGAGUGUAGAGGUGAAAUUCGUAGAUAUUCGGAGGAACACCAGUGGCGAAGGCGGCUCACUGGCUCGAUACUGACGCUGAGGUGCGAAAGUGUGGGGAGCAAACAGG